rnacentral:tmRNA from 1 species
AACCUUGCGCCGCUAGUCACCCCGGCAAUAUAUUAGCUCUGUCGAGCAAUCGACUAUGGCGAUAAAUGGCCCUGNNCGGAAUAGACGUUGCGGACCCGGGGGCGGUACCCGGCGCCUCCACCAAUUUCCACCCGACCCCAGCGNNGUCAGGUGGCGCAGCGGGGGCGAAAUAGGAUCGACGUGCGUGAUAAAGGCUAGGUUUUUGCCCNGGCAUGGUACCGCCGUUAUCGGGCCAAUAUGAUAGAUAGAUGCCAACGAUAAUCAGGCAUAUGCUUUGGCCGCUUAAGGCCNNUGAGCGGGGUUCGGAGGGCACCUGGCACCAGAAGCCCUCCACU